rnacentral:rRNA from 1 species
AUACGGAGGGUGCAAGCGUUAUUCGGAAUCACUGGGCGGAAAGGACGCGUAGGCGGGUUGGCAAGUCAGAUGUGAAAUCCUACAGCUUAACUGUAGAACUGCAUUUGAAACUGCUAACCUAGAGUAUGGGAGGGGGAGAUGGAAUUAGUGGUGUAGGGGUAAAAUCCGUAGAUAUCACUAGGAAUACCGAAAGCGAAGGCGAUCUCCUGGAACAUAACUGACGCUAAGGCGUGAAAGCGUGGGGAGCAAACAGGAUUAGAUACCCUUGUAGUCC